UACAGAGGGUGCGAGCGUUAAUCGGAAUUACUGGGCGUAAAGCGCGCGUAGGCGGCUUUGUAAGUCGGUUGUGAAAUCCCCGGGCUUAACCUGGGAACUGCAUCCGAGACUGCAUGGCUAGAGUAUGGGAGAGGGAAGUGGAAUUUCAGGUGUAGCGGUGAAAUGCGUAGAUAUCUGAAGGAACAUCAGUGGCGAAAAGCGACUUCCUGGAACGGUACUGACGCUGAGACGCGAAAGCGUGGGGAGCGAACAGG
rnacentral:rRNA from 1 species